rnacentral:misc_RNA from 1 species
GAUGAAGAACGUAGCAAAAUGCGAUAAGUAAUGUGAAUUGCAGAAUUCAGUGAAUCAUCGAAUCUUUGAACGCACAUUGCGCCCGCCAGUAUUCUGGCGGGCAUGCCUGUCCGAGCGUCAUUUCAACCCUCGAGCCCCUCCGGGGGGUCGGCGUUGGGGAUCGGCCCCUCACCGGGCCGCCCCCGAAAUACAGUGGCGGUCUCGCCGCAGCCUCUCCUGCGCAGUAGUUUGCACACUCGCACCGGGAGCGCGGCGCGGCCACAGCCGUAAAACACCCCAAGCAUUCUGAAAUGUUGACCUCGGAUCAGGUAGGAAUACCCGCUGAACUUAAGCAUAUCAAUAAGCGGAGGA